rnacentral:rRNA from 1 species
GAUGAGCGCUGGCGGCGUGCCUAAUACAUGCAAGUCGAGCGAACGGACGAGAAGCUUGCUUUUCUGAUGUUAGCGGCGGACGGGUGAGUAACACGUGGAUAACCUACCUAUAAGACUGGGAUAACUUCGGGAAACCGGAGCUAAUACCGGAUAAUAUUUUGAACCGCAUGGUUCAAAAGUGAAAGACGGUCUUGCUGUCACUUAUAGAUGGAUCCGCGCUGCAUUAGCUAGUUGGUAAGGUAACGGCUUACCAAGGCAACGAUGCAUAGCCGACCUGAGAGGGUGAUCGGCCACACUGGAACUGAGACACGGUCAAGACUCCUACGGGAGGCAGCAGUAGGGAAUCUUCCGCAAUGGGCGAAAGCCUGACGGAGCAACGCCGCGUGAGUGAUGAAGGUCUUCGGAUCGUAAAACUCUGUUAUUAGGGAAGAACAUAUGUGUAAGUAACUGUGCACAUCUUGACGGUACCUAAUCAGAAAGCCACGGCUAACUACGUG